CAGCAGCCGCGGUAAUACGAAGGGUGCAAGCGUUAAUCGGAAUUACUGGGCGUAAAGCGUGCGUAGGCGGUGAGUUAAGUCUGCUGUGAAAUCCCCGGGCUCAACCUGGGAAUGGCAGUGGAUACUGGCUCGCUAGAGUGUGUCAGAGGAUGGUGGAAUUCCCGGUGUAGCGGUGAAACGCGUAGAGAUCGGGAGGAACAUCAGUGGCGAAGGCGGCCAUCUGGGACAACACUGACGCUGAGGCACGAAAGCGUGGGGAGCAAACAGGAUUAGAUACCCCCGUAGUCCCUGUCUCUUAUAA
rnacentral:rRNA from 1 species